rnacentral:lncRNA from 1 species
CCAAGGGCAUCAGUAGGGGGUGGCGUCUCCAGCCCCUGGCUCCAUGGCACUGUUCAACUUUCCUUGCGUUGCUUUGCAGCCCACCCCUCACAGUGCCUCUGAAGUGUUUCCUCUGGAGUAACAUGAGCGUUUGAGGGCUUGUCUAAGGAGAAGAAAAGAAUAAGGCAGUGAAGGAGACUGUACAUAAAGACAUGGCAAAAAUCGUAAUUAUAGCAAUAUAGUUAUGGGGUAAUGUUCCCAUGGUUGUAAAGCUAACUUUUUAACAAUUAUAAUGGAACUAUAUGUUGUUUCCAUUUUUAAAGUAAACAAGAAUAUUCCUUGUUUGGAGACUGGACUUGAGUUAAAACUCUCCAGGCUCUUAAGUUAUGUAUUAAAAAAGAAAAAAAAUCUGUCCAUGUUAGGAGUUAUUUCACAGAUUCCUGUGCUUGAAAAGCAUAGGAUACUAAUCCUUUAAAAAGUGUAAAUGGAGAAAAGUUAUAUUUUAUGAAGGUUAUUUUGUUGUAUUUAGUAUUGGAAAAGUUGGUUUUCAGAGCAUUUCAGAAUGUCGGAAGCACCACUGUCUUUUUAUUAGUAUAAACGGCCUUUAGCAAAAGUUUUUGUGAUUGUUACGUGAUGGUAUUUAAGGUUGUUUCACAGAGCAUUCAGGAUAGGCAGAAAAUGACAAAACAGUGCUAUGUCUCACAUAACGUGUCCUCAGGGAGCAGAAUCUUGGAUUUGUGACUUGUAGCUUCAUAAGGACUCAACAAAAGAGAUUGCACAGGGACAUUUCAGCAGAGUGACACCAGGACAUAUGUUCUUUACCUAGAUUCAAACUCUAUGUAUCGUGUGAAACGAUGAAGGCUGCAGAAAGUUAUCCCAUAUUCAGUGUACAGUAUUCAUUUUUAACGAAACAACUACAAUAUUGCUGGCAGAUAGGCCCCAAGCAUGACAUUCAAUAUAGUUUACAUGUUCCUGUCAAGGUCUUUGGUUAACAUUAACCAGCUGCAUGCUUCCUGGACUUUAAAAAAUUGGGUUUCUAUAGAAAACUUUUUUUUUUUUUUUUAAUGUGCAGGCUAUUCAAGUUCAAUAGUAAAAGCUUAAAAUUGAAUGUUCUACUCCAUGCUGAAGGAGCUGAAAGCUGCCUUCUUCAUUUUUUGCACUUUCUGGUAGUUCCCCUGUUUUUUUCUAAUUCCUUAUGAAAUUGUGUGGGUGGGGUGGAGCACUGCAGUUGGGGGGUAACAUGGACCACUGAUUUUUGCCCUUUGACCCUGCACAAUGACCUUUGCAUCAGCCAAACUCAUUGCCAUGACAACUCUUUGUACUGUGUCCGUGCCACAGAUCUGUUGGUGACAUUGUUCAUAUAGUCAAAGGGGACAAGUUGGAGACGGUCAAUUUUUACUUUUUGUUGUUGUUGUUGUUGCAAUUCUUUCUUCAAUGGUUGUAAGUAAAGACAGUGUGAGCUGGUGACACUAAAGCCGGUCUUGUAUUACUGUAUUUUUGACAGAAUGGUUUUGAAAACUGCUACAGGGACUGAUGUGGCAAAUAUAUCUUUUUAUGC